UCUGACCAUAGGAUUCCUAGGCAUCAAUCUUUGCUGUUCUUGGAAUAAAUCCUUCAGUUAGCAUCUUCUUCCUUCAGGGUUCUCUGAGCCUCAUCAGCUGACCGUCAGUUUGAACUCAGUCAUCUCCCUUUGCGUUCUCUCAGUCCUUGCAGCCGUUUUCCUUGCCAAGAGAUUUCUGUUCCUGUUGUGUCCCCGUUGUCUGUCCUGUCCCGUCUGUCCUGUGUCACGGGUGUCUGCACACAUUUGUGCCGGGGCUGCUCUGCCCUGCCGCAUAGCCAGCUGCAAUAGUAGAAGUCCUGGAGACUUGGAACGUGUUAUGCGGGGUGUAGUUGGACUCUAGGUGGGAUUUGUCGAUGGACACAGGAUAUCUGGAGCUCUUCAGUUAUCAUGCAACAGUUUGACUCUUGUCCUACCUUUUUUCUUCAGAUUGAGAUGGAUUAAAUCUGUGCCAGAGGGCCCCAUCCCGUUGAGGGGAUUGCCCCGAGCAGGAAAUCAGUCUGGAUACCGGCAGCCAAGGUACCACCCCUAAUGAAGGCCACAGCCUUGGAAUCAGGAUGAAGCUGGAGCCUGAGGGAGCCAGGCACGCUCAGGAAAGGGCA